rnacentral:rRNA from 1 species
GAUGAACGCUGGCGGCGUGCCUAAUACAUGCAAGUCGAGCGAACGGACGAGAAGCUUGCUUCUCUGAUGUUAGCGGCGGACGGGUGAGUAACACGUGGAUAACCUACCUAUAAGACUGGGAUAACUUCGGGAAACCGGAGCUAAUACCGGAUAAUAUUUUGAACCGCAUGGUUCAAAAGUGAAAGACGGUCUUGCUGUCACUUAUAGAUGGAUCCGCGCUGCAUUAGCUAGUUGGUAAGGUAACGGCUUACCAAGGCAACGAUGCAUAGCCGACCUGAGAGGGUGAUCGGCCACACUGGAACUGAGACACGGUCCAGACUCCUACGGGAGGCAGCAGUAGGGAAUCUUCCGCAAUGGGCGAAAGCCUGACGGAGCAACGCCGCGUGAGUGAUGAAGGUCUUCGGAUCGUAAAACUCUGUUAUUAGGGAAGAACAUAUGUGUAAGUAACUGUGCACAUCUUGACGGUACCUAAUCAGAAAGCCACGGCUAACUACGUGCCAGCAGCCGCGGUAAUACGUAGGUGGCAAGCGUUAUCCGGAAUUAUUGGGCGUAAAGCGCGCGUAGGCGGUUUUUUAAGUCUGAUGUGAAAGCCCACGGCUCAACCGUGGAGGGUCAUUGGAAACUGGAAAACUUGAGUGCAGAAGAGGAAAGUGGAAUUCCACGUGUAGCGGUGAAAUGCGCAGAGAUAUGGAGGAACACCAGUGGCGAAGGCGACUCUCUGGUCUGUAACUGACGCUGAUGUGCGAAAGCGUGGGGAUCAAACAGGAUUAGAUACCCUGGUAGUCCACGCCGUAAACGAUGAGUGCUAAGUGUUAGGGGGUUUCCGCCCCUUAGUGCUGCAGCUAACGCAUUAAGCACUCCGCCUGGGGAGUACGACCGCAAGGUUGAAACUCAAAGGAAUUGACGGAGGCCCGCACAAGCGGUGGAGCAUGUGGUUUAAUUCGAAGCAACGCGAAGAACCUUACCAAAUCUUGACAUCCUUUGACAACUCUAGAGAUAGAGCCUUCCCCUUCGGGGGACAAAGUGACAGGUGGUGCAUGGUUGUCGUCAGCUCGUGUCGUGAGAUGUUGGGUUAAGUCCCGCAACGAGCGCAACCCUUAAGCUUAGUUGCCAUCAUUAAGUUGGGCACUCUAAGUUGACUGCCGGUGACAAACCGGAGGAAGGUGGGGAUGACGUCAAAUCAUCAUGCCCCUUAUGAUUUGGGCUACACACGUGCUACAAUGGACAAUACAAAGGGCAGCGAAACCGCGAGGUCAAGCAAAUCCCAUAAAGUUGUUCUCAGUUCGGAUUGUAGUCUGCAACUCGACUACAUGAAGCUGGAGUCGCUAGUAAUCGUAGAUCAGCAUGCUACGGUGAAUACGUUCCCGGGUCU